rnacentral:lncRNA from 1 species
GGGUGGUGGUGCGGGUAAGUCUUGCAUUACUCGGUGCAUGAUGUAGCAGUCUAUUGCCGAGUGCUUGCUAGUCGGAUGCUAUUUGCACUGCUUUUUGAGUACUUCGGUGAAGGUUGGCCCUUUAUCGUUUUUGCCAGGUCCCUUUUUCCCGAAGUUGGUCAUGGCAGCAACAGUGUUGUCGGGCUUCCUUUUGCGGUUGUGAUUACUCGAAUAGUUGUUUCGAGUAUCAUUGUGUCGAGUUCUAUCUUGGUCAUUGUUGUUGUUGUUGUCGCGUCCACGGUUACGGUGGGAGCCGAACCGUUCUCGCUCUUUGUCUUCUUCAUCCGCCCACUGCUGCACCAUGACUUUGAGGUCUUUGACAUUA